rnacentral:lncRNA from 1 species
ACACCACGUGUGCAGGGCAGAACCCACCUGACAUAGCCACCGAGACGAGACGCUGAGGGAGAAAACGGCCAUCCUGCGGGCUUGGACAGGCCCUGGGAGCGCGUGGCGCUGCGCCAUAGCAGGAAGGCCAGGCAGCAGGCAGAGCAGAAACAUGAAGAGGAGCCCCCCCCCCCAACAGUAAGGACAGAACCCCUCGGUCAAAUAGCUCCUGCAGCGCCUCAGCGUUCGCUACUUCACGUGGACAUCGUAACAGCUGCCAGAGGACAAACCGAGGCACCAAGAGGAAUCAGGGAGGGAGAGGAUCAGGCAGGGAGGACCACCGAGACCCAUCUCACCGUCCCAGCUUUUCCCCUACGUCCUGGUUCAAAUGGCAGACGAUUAAAACAGAAGAAGGAAAGAAACAGCACACACGUCACGUUUCUGAGUCCUGUCCAAACUAUAACUUCUUUUUUAAAAAUACCAAUUUUUAAGUAUUCCAAUGGUUUUAAUCACUGAAAUCAACUCGAAAGAAUAAACAACUAUCCAUGGGAAAACA